UUUUUUUUUUUUUGGGUUUGGGCAGGGUUCAAAAUGUUGGGCCUCUUAUUAUUAGCCCAAUUGUUAAAUGAAAAUAUCCGAAUUUAUCAAAGUUCAAUUACCCAAUAAAAUUGAAUCAAAUGCCCAAAUAACUCCCAUUUCUCCCAAAUCGUAGAACGGUGGAAGGUUGGAAGAAAACGCUUUUCCAAUUUCUUCAAUCUUCCUUCGCCGCUCGCCCUUGCCUGCACAACGCUGCACACGAGUGACGAGACACGACAGUGUUGGAGACCGCCGGUUUCGCCCCUACCCUACAGGCUGCAUUGUGAGACACUUCUUCCUUCGCCGCCGCCGGUUCGGCCCUGAUUUCUAAUUGUUUUUCUAACAUGACUUUUGACUUCAUUCUGAAAAUCUUUCAUCUUUUUGAGUUUUGGAAUAAAGAUAGAUAUAUUGUUGUGUUGUUAGUUGAUAUACUAAUUAAUUAUCCAAUACGCCAUAAAAUAUUGUAUCAUUAAUGAAUAGGGUGGAUUAAAAUUUAAAAGUACAAACUUUAAUUAAAAACAAGAUUACUGCAAUUUUAGUUAUCUUCAUAAUUUACUUCUGUUAAUUAUUAUAUUCCUCAAAUAUUGGACUAAGGGUGAGGGAUAUAAUUAAAUAAUUGAACAGUGCCAAUAUAUUAUGUGAGUGCUUAUAUUUUUUAAAUGAAAAUUUUCACAGGGUAUGAAUCGUAUGAUUGCCUGUUUGUAUGUGCUAACUGCUAAAUUGGCAAAUUUAAAUAUAUUGUAUUGUAAUUUGUAGGUGCUAACUGCUCAACACCAUUUUUAACGGUUUAAAGGUAUCAUUUUGGCAUGAAAUUGGAGCAGAAUCGCAGAAUUCUUUGUCCACUUGGCGAGCAAGUUCUUUGGUUCACUGGUUGGAGACUUGGAGCCAAUAUUUAUACCAAAUGAUUCCUUCCUCAUGUCAAUGACUUAAGUUGAUAAGUUGAUGUUAAAUAUGUUGUGAUUUAUGAAUUAUGAUAAGUAAUUUACGUUUUAUGAGUUAUAAUUAUUGAUUUGGGAAUUUAUGUUUAUGAAAUUAUAUUUGCAUUCGUGAUUUAUGAUAAGUAAUUUAUGUUUUGAUGAGGAAUGAUUAUUGAUUUGGGAAUUUAUGUUUACGAAAUUAUGUUGUGAAUUGUGAUUUAUGAUAAGUAAUUUAUGUUUUGCAAAUUAUGAUUAUUGAUUAGAGAAUUUACGUUUAGGAAAUUAGUCAAAGUGAACAAAUUUAAUUGAGAAGAUGUUGGCC
rnacentral:lncRNA from 1 species